rnacentral:rRNA from 1 species
UACGUAGGUGGCAAGCGUUGUCCGGAUUUACUGGGCGUAAAGGGCGUGCAGGCGGUUUGUUAAGUCUAGGGUGAAAGCUCCCGGCUCAACUGGGAGAGGUCCUUGGAUACUGGCGAACUUGAGGGAUGCAGAGGAAAGUGGAAUUCCCGGUGUAGUGGUGAAAUGCGCAGAUAUCAGGAGGAACACCGGUGGCGAAGGCGGGUCUCUGGGCCGUAACUGACGCUGAGGAGCGAAAGCGUGGGGAGCGAACAGG